CCCCGGUCCGUCCCCCCAGACCCUGUUGAUCCCUCCUGUGGGCAACGCUGAAAUUCGCGAGCGCGCCUCUUCUCGCCCUCCCUGCUCUCCCUGCUAAUGUACAGUGAUACACUUUCACUCCCAGGCCCCUGCUCACGCGCUCUCUCGCUCAAAAAAAGGAUGAAUGGAUAAACAAGUAUGGUACACGUCUACAGUGCGAUAUUAUUCAGCCUUAAAAUGGAAGGAAAUUCUGACACUGCUACCAUGAGGACGAACCCUGUGGUUGCACAAGAGGUGAAUGGACAUCGCGCCAGUGAACUCUAUACUUCAAAAUGGUACACGUUCAACCUCUGGCGCGGAAUUUAUGCCCACGGCACACUGCAGUUUGGACCAGCCACGUUUUCCAGUGCCCAACAGCUACGUGCGGCUCCUCUGCUGAGCAGCUGUGCCUCUCACCCGUUCCCAACC